AUUGAACGCUGGCGGCAUGCUUUACACAUGCAAGUCGAACGGUAACAGGCCGCAAGGUGCUGACGAGUGGCGAACGGGCGAGUAAUGCAUCGGAACGUGCCCAGUCGUGGGGGAUAACGCAGCGAAACCUGCGCUAAUACCCCAUACGAUUUCUGGACGAAAGCGGGGGACCGUAAGGCCUCGCGCGAUUGGAGCGGCCGAUGUCAGAUUAGGUAGUUGGUGGGGUAAAGGCUCACCAAGCCACCGAUCUGUAGCUGGGCGGAGAGGAAGAACAGGCACAGUGGGACUGGAACACGGCACAGAAUCCUACGGGAGGAAGCGGUGGGGAAUUUUGGACAGUGGGCGUAAGCCUGAUCCGGCAAUGCCGUGUGCAGGAAGAUGGCCUUCGGGUUGUAAGCUGCUUGUGUACGGAACGAAACGGUCCUGGUUAAUACCUGGGGCUAAUGACGGUACCGUAAGAAUAAGCACCGGCUAGCUACGUGCCAGCCGCCGCCGUAA
rnacentral:rRNA from 1 species